rnacentral:rRNA from 1 species
GCAACCUGCGGGCCAGCAUGGCGGGUUAAACGAAGGGGUGGAGGGGUUGCCUGAAUUAUUGGGCGUAAGGAGCGCGUGCGCGGACGGUGGCUUCGGCUGUGGAAGCCUGGGGCGCAACCCCGGGCUUGCAGCCGAUACGGGCGAGCUAGAAUUCGGUAGGGGAGACUGGAAGUCCUGGUGUAGCGGUGAAAUGCGCAGAUAUCAGGAGGAACACCGGUGGCGAAGGCGGGUCGCUGGGCCGAUAUUGACGCUGAGGAGCGAAAGCGUGGGGAGCGAACAGGAUUAGAUACCCGGGUAGUC